CGCUUAAUAUGAAUGUUAGAAAAGGACAGCCUCAAACAGAUAAUACAAAAAAAUGAGAUGAAAUUCAUAUUUAGCAGCCUCCAAUACAGUAUGUAUUGUUUGAUGCGAUCCAAAAGAACAAGGAACGCGUGGUCUGCUUUGGGGUUUUUGAUUUACUUUGGUAGAUAUCGUUAACAGAAGCACACGUCUAGUUACCACAAGGAAAGAGGAAAAUACUUACAAAAAGUAAAGUUAGUUAGAACAUUAUAGAUAAAGUUACACUCAGUUCUGUGCUAGUGCAAACAAAAUGCGCAAAGGCUGAGUUUUGUGACGACCCUUUGAUUAAAGGAACGGGGUUGAAAGUGUGUGUAAGCACGUUUUCGGUUCAGGUUAAAAGCCCACCUUGCAACGUGGGUGCGAGUUCGGGGCGGCAUUCGUCCGUAUUGAAAACUACACGUGAAACUGGACGAAACGAAGACCGCUCAAAACUACGUUUUGGUACGGUAGUCCCACGGACUUGACGAAGCCCUCAGACGGUCGCUGUAGUGUAGUUUCGUUCAGUACCGCCCAGUACAAUAAGUCAAGACAUCGCAGGGACUGAAGCGCCACCCGACGGCAGGUGGAUGAACCCAUCUAGUGACGACACACAACUGUGAUCCGACUUCGUUUACCCUAUUACGUCACCGAGUUGUAUCCGAUGAGAAACCGUUCGAGGUUGGCAAUAAGCUUUGCGAUUACGUCACCGACCCUCCCACUGGGUAUCUGGGAUAAGCUGAGCCGUGGACGUUGGCGGUUAGGAAA